CAGCAGCCACGGUAAUACGAAGGGGGCUAGCGUUGUUCGGAAUUACUGGGCGUAAAGCGCGCGUAGGCGGAUAUUUAAGUCAGGGGUGAAAUCCCAAGGCUCAACCUUGGAACUGCCUUUGAUACUGGAUAUCUGGAGUUUGGGAGAGGUGAGUGGAAUUCCGAGUGUAGAGGUGAAAUUCGUAGAUAUUCGGAGGAACACCAGAAGCGAAGGCGGCUCACUGGCCCAAUACUGACGCUGAGGCGCGAAAGCGUGGGGAGCAAACAGGACUAGAGACCCGCGUAGUCCCUGUCUCUUAUAC
rnacentral:rRNA from 1 species